rnacentral:rRNA from 1 species
GACGAACGCUGGCGGCGUGCUUAACACAUGCAAGUCGAACGGAAAGGCCCUGCUUUUGUGGGGUGCGCGAGUGGCGAACGGGUGAGUAACACGUGAGUAACCUGCCCUUGACUUUGAGAUAACUUCAGGAAACUGGGGCUAAUACCGGAUAGGAGCUCCUGCUGCAUGGUGGGGGUUGGAAAGUUUCGGCGGUUGGGGAUGGACUCGCGGCUUAUCAGCUUGUUGGUGGGGUAGUGUCUUACCAAGGCUUUGACGGGUAGCCGGCCUGAGAGGAUGACCGGCCCCAUUAGGACUGAGCUGCGGCCCAGCCUACUACGGGAGGCAGCGGUGGAGAAUAUUGCACAAUGGGCUGAAGGCUGACGCAGCAACGCCACGUGGGGGAUGACGGGAAUCGGGUUGUAAACCGCUUUCGCCUGUGACGAAGCGUGAGUGACGGUAAUGGGUAAAGAAGCACCGGCUAACUACGUG